rnacentral:rRNA from 1 species
GAUGAACGCUGGCGGCGUGCCUAACACAUGCAAGUCGAACGGGCCGACUCCCCUUUUUUUUUGGUGGUGGUGGCGGUGGACGGGGGGGGAAUAAGUCGAUAGUAACCUUCUCCUACUUGGUGGAUAACGGCUUGAAAGGGCUGCUAAUACGGGAUAUUCUGAACUGCUCGCAUCAGUGGGUUUUGAAAGAUUUGACCGGUUUUGGAUGUGUUGGCGGGGUAUGGGCUCGCGCUGCAUUAGCUAGUUGGUGGGGAGACGGCGUGCCAUGGCGGUGACGCGUGUCCGCCCUGUGAGGGUGAUCGGCGACACUGUAACUGAGACACGGUCCAGACUCCUACGGGAGGCAGCAGUGGGGAAUAUUGUGCAAUGGGCGCAAGCCUGACGCAGCGAGACCGCGCGUGUGAGGAAGGGCUUCGGGUCGUAAAACCCUCUUUUUCGGGAAGAAAAGGUGCUGCUCUAUAUGGGGGGGUUGUGACGGUACCGAAUAAUGAAGCACCGGCUAACUACGUG